rnacentral:rRNA from 1 species
GGUAGGGUAAAGGCCUACCAAGGCGACGAUCCGUAGCUGGUCUGAGAGGAUGAUCAGCCACACUGGGACUGAGACACGGCCCAGACUCCUACGGGAGGCAGCAGUGGGGAAUAUUGGACAAUGGGCGGAAGCCUGAUCCAGCAAUACCGCGUGUGUGAAGAAGGCCUGAGGGUUGUAAAGCACUUUCACUGGGGAGGAAAAAGGUAAUCUUAAUACGGUUGCCCUUGACAUUACCUAGAGAAGAAGCACCGGCUAACUCCGUGCCAGCAGCCGCGGUAAUACGGAGGGUGCGAGCGUUAAUCGGAAUUACUGGGCGUAAAGCGUGCGUAGGCGGUAAGUUAAGUCAGAUGUGAAAGCCCUGGGCUCAACCUGGGAACGGCAUUUGAAACUGGCUUGCUAGAGUUAGGUAGAGGGGAGUGGAAUUUCAGGUGUAGCGGUGAAAUGCGUAGAUAUCUGAAGGAACACCAGUGGCGAAGGCGGCUCCCUGGACCCAAACUGACGCUGAGGUACGAAAGCGUGGGUAGCAAACAGGAUUAGAUACCCUGGUAGUCCACGCCGUAAACGAUGCCGACUAGCCGUUGGGCCCUUAUAGGGUUUAGUGGCGUAGCUAACGCGAUAAGUCGGCCGCCUGGGGAGUACGGCCGCAAGGUUAAAACUCAAAUGAAUUGACGGGGGCCCGCACAAGCGGUGGAGCAUGUGGUUUAAUUCGAUGCAACGCGAAGAACCUUACCUACCCUUGACAUCCUAAGAAUUUAGCAGAGAUGCUUAGUGCCUUCGGGAACUUAGAGACAGGUGCUGCGUGGCUGUCGUCAGCUCGUGUUGUGAAAUGUUGGGUUAAGUCCCGUAACGAGCGCAACCCUCAUCCUUAGUUGCCAGCGGGUCAAGCCGGGAACUCUAGGGAGACUGCCGGUGAUAAACCGGAGGAAGGUGGGGACGACGUCAAGUCAUCAUGGCCCUUAUGGGUAGGGCUACACACGUGCUACAAUGGCCGGUACAGAGGGCUGCGAACUAGUAAUAGCAAGCUAAUCCCACAAAGCCGGUCGUAGUCCGGAUUGGGGUCUGCAACUCGACCCCAUGAAGUCGGAAUCGCUAGUAAUCGCAAAUCAGAAUGUUGCGGUGAAUACGUUCCCGGGCCUUGUACACACCGCCCGUCACACCAUGGGAGUGGGUUGCAAAAGAAGUAGGUAGUCUAACCGCAAGGAGGGCGCUUACCA